AUUGAACGCUGGCGGCAGGCCUAACACAUGCCAGUCGAGCGGAUGAAGGGAGCUUGCUCCUGGAUUCAGCGGCGGACGGGUGAGUAAUGCCUAGGAAUCUGCCUGGUAGUGGGGGAUAACGUCCGGAAACGGGCGCUAAUACCGCAUACGUCCUGAGGGAGAAAGUGGGGGAUCUUCGGACCUCACGCUAUCAGAUGAGCCUAGGUCGGAUUAGCUAGUUGGUGGGGUAAAGGCCUACCAAGGCGACGAUCCGUAACUGGUCAGAGAGGAUGAUCAGUCACACUGGAACUGAGACACGGUCCAGACUCCUACGGGAGGCAGCAGUGGGGAAUAUUGGACAAUGGGCGAAAGCCUGAUCCAGCCAUGCCGCGUGUGUGAAGAAGGUCUUCGGAUUGUAAAGCACUUUAAGUUGGGAGGAAGGGCAGUAAGUUAAUACCUUGCUGUUUUGACGUUACCAACAGAAUAAGCACCGGCUAACUUCGUG
rnacentral:rRNA from 1 species